AUCAGAUUGCUGUGAGGAGGAAAUGAGGCUGCUACAGGAAAAAGAAAGAAAAUGACAACGUUUGGCUCAUGGCGGUCCUCGUUCACAGACAGACUUGACGUGGCCACAUCAUCUCCAUCAGCAAGGUCACCUCCAAUCACAUGGUGGUUAGCACCCUUGUGCACCCGG
rnacentral:lncRNA from 1 species